rnacentral:rRNA from 1 species
GGAAGGCAGCAGGCACGCAAAUUACCCACUCCCGGCUCGGGGAGGUAGUGACGAAAAAUAACGAUACGGGACUCAUCGAGACCCCGUGAUCGGAAUGAGUACGCUCUAAAUCCCCUAACGAGGACCUACCGGAGGGCAAGACUAAUGCCAGCCGCUGCGGUAAUUUUAGCUCCGGUAGCGUAUACUAAAAUUGCUGCAGUUAAAAAGCUCGUAGUCGGACCUCUGCUCCGGACGCCGGGGGCCGCCCGCGCGGUCUCCCGCGCGCUUCCGGGCAUUCUGCCCGCCACCUCGCGGGGUGAUUUUCAAAGGUCGUCCCCGGGUGGAAGGCGGUGGUCGCUUUGCCAAAAUUAGAGUGCUCAGAGCAGGCACCGAAGCCCGAAUAGUAAUGCACGGAACGACGGAAGACGCCCUCGGUUCCGGGUUUCCGCACCUCCUGGUCGACGGAACCCGAGGGAAUGAUCGAUAGGAGCUGACGGGGGCAUUCGUAUUCCGACGCUAGAGGUGAAAUUCUUGGACCGUCGGAAGACGACCCACUGCGAAGGCAUUUGCCAAGAAUGCUUCCAUUGACCAAGAACGAAAGUGAGAGGCUCAAAGAAGAUUAGAUACCUUUGUAGUUCUGACCGUAAACUCUACCAGCCAGCGAUCCGGCUGCGUACGAAUGCGACGCGCCGGGCAGCUUGCCCGGGAAACCUGAGUUCAGGCUCC